UACAGAGGUCCCAAGCGUUGUUCGGAAUUACUGGGCGUAAAGGGCGCGUAGGCGGCCUUCUAAGUCAGACGUGAAAUCCCCGGGCUCAACCCGGGAACUGCGUCCGAUACUGACAGGCUCGAAUCCGGGAGAGGGAUGUGGAAUUCCAGGUGUAGCGGUGAAAUGCGUAGAUAUCUGGAGGAACACCGGUGGCGAAGGCGGCAUCCUGGACCGGUAUUGACGCUGAGGCGCGAAAGCCAGGGGAGCAAACGGG
rnacentral:rRNA from 1 species